GCCCUCGUAGAUCAACGGUAGAUCUCCUUCCAUUAGCAUUGGUUUGCUUGCCACUAUGGAGGCCAUGUGGGUUCAACUCCCACCGUGGGCA